rnacentral:rRNA from 1 species
UACGUAGGGUCCGAGCGUUGUCCGGAAUUAUUGGGCGUAAAGGGCUCGUAGGCGGUUUGUCGCGUCGGGAGUGAAAACCAGGUGCUUAACACCUGGCUUGCUUUCGAUACGGGCAGACUAGAGGUAUUCAGGGGAGAACGGAAUUCCUGGUGUAGCGGUGAAAUGCGCAGAUAUCGGGAGGAACACCAGAGGCGAAGGCGGCCUCGUCUGGGCGUAGUACGACGCUGAGAGCGAAAGCGUGGGGAGCGAACGAGUAUACGAAGA